AAGGAAUAUUGGACAAUGGGCGGAAGCCUGAUCCAGCCAUCCCGCGUGCAGGAUGAAGGCCCUCUGGGUUGUAAACUGCUUUUAUUGGGGAAGAAACCUGCGUAUUUAUAUGCAGCUGACGGUACCCAAGGAAUAAGCACCGGCUAACUCCGUGCCAGCAGCCGCGGUAAUACGGAGGGUGCAAGCGUUAUCCGGAAUCACUGGGUUUAAAGGGUGCGUAGGCGGCCUGUCAAGUCAGGGGUGAAAUGUCUUCGCUUAACGAAGAAAUUGCCUUUGAUACUGUCGGGCUUGAAACAGGUUGAGGUUGGCGGAAUGUGGCAUGUAGCGGUGAAAUGCAUAGAUAUGCCAUAGAACACCGAUUGCGUAGGCAGCUGGCUGGACCUGGAUUGACGCUGAGGCACGAAAGCGUGGGGAUCAAAC
rnacentral:rRNA from 1 species